rnacentral:lncRNA from 7 species
AAAGUCCUACACCUGGAGAGGAACAAUCACAUGCAUCUGUGCAGGAUAGGGGCUGACCUGCUGGAAAGGAGCUCUGAAGAGAAGGACCUGGACGUCCAGGUGGACAACAGUUUGGCCAUAAGGCAGCACUGUGCCCUGUGGCCAGGAAGUUCACUGGGAACAUGGGCUGUGUUAAAAAGAGCAGCAGUGUUAAAAAUGAUCAGCAGGUCAAGGGAAGGUGAUCUUUCCAAUCUUCUCUGCCCUGUGUACUCAAGAGGAACUGAAGUUUCUGCAGCCUUCUUUUCAUCUGGACAGCUCCUAGCCUGUCAUACUUUAAUACGACAAGGGCAAGAAUAUAACAGAUGGAAGACUGAGAAAUAUCAGGACUCCGGCUAUGCACUACUUGAUCCAGAGGUCUUUUGAUAUAACCCAAUGAUCUCCAGCUCCUCUCAAGAGCAAAGAAAAUGCAAAAUCGGCCACAGAAGGGCUGACCUUCAAUCAUGAGUCUUUGCACUAUGGAAGUAAUUCAAUAGUAAGCCUAAAAGAGCUCUACAAAAGCUAGCCUAUGUUAUUCGAUCCAUAAGGUAAGAAUCAGGAGAUGAAGACAUAAAGUUUUCUAUCCUAGCUGAAAUACCAGAAAAGAGGCAUCUAUUUUUUGUCUUAUUCUCCUUAGGAUGGGACAAUGAAAGAACUACAACCGUAUAACUUUCAUUCAGCACUCUCUUGUCAGAUGCAGGCAGACCAAAGUCUGUUACAGUGUAUUUAACAUGCCAAACAAGCCAUCUGAGUCCAAUGUGACUACACCAUGCUUUGGCAUUGCAAAAGUAUCCUAUGGCUGUUUCCUUUAGGCCUCCUUAUGUCUGUGAAAGUGUGCAUGAAAUAAGCACUGUCAGAAAGGGUUAGAUGCUGAAUUAUGUCAUCUGUACAAGUGGGAUUAGUGCUGCUAUCACUUAUUGCUUUCUACCUCCUCUCCCUCUGCUAAUACAAUAAUGUCUAUGAAGGCACCUCAAUGUUAUUUUCAUUCUCAUGAAUUGAACAGGAAAUAAGUUGUCGGGCACAUGUUGACCGGUCUUCUAGUGCUUCUACGUAACAGGACAGGAAAGUACAAAUAUAUCUAUCAAGGCACUGUAGAAUUAAAGCUUGUUUUCUUGUUUUAAAAAAAUGAAUUAUGUAUACUAAAAAUAAAAGUAAUAAAUUUUUUUAGAAACCACAGUAGAAGUUUUGAUUUCUAAUUUUCAGCAUGUCCCCUUUAUCAUUUUUCUCUUUAAAAUGUUAGUUUUAGUGAUAAUAUCUGUUAGAUCAGUGUAGAGGGACUGUUAGGUCAGAGUUUGAAGUGGUGAUUGAGCACCUGGUGAAGGGGUGUGACUGACUCAGGGAGCACAGGCAAACUGUUUGUACCUGUGCUCCCCAUGUGACCAGAAGGGGUGUAUCCAGGGUGGAGUCACCCUGGGCUCAUAUAAGAGCUAGUCACUGAUGGGAAGGAGUUCUGUAUGGUCUGGAAGACUCUUCGUGUAUUGGGUGAGUCUAACUUUUCUUUCUGUGUGUAACUGUUGGUCUACCUGUGAUUGCUUUGCCUGGGUGUAACCAGGAUCUUCUUAGAAGCAAUUUUGAUUCUUUGUGAGCAGAACAAUUAAAAACUAUUUACUUGUCAGAAAUUUUCAAGUCACCACUGAACUUUUUUUCAUGUGAAAGCUUCCUAAAUGCUUUUUUCAGGAGAAUGGUCUGAGUGAGUUUGGAGGGUGAAAUUAAUCAAUGGCCUGAAAAUGUAUCUGUUGCAAGUAAAUUAAAAUCAAGCCUGGUAACUUUUACUCUGGAAACUAAGCUUCAAUCUUACGUCAGUUUUACUAGAGCCUAUUUUUUAAUGUGACUGUCAUAAAGGCAUAUAGGUAUCUUUUUCAAGGGAGAAGCCCAGUAGAUUAAAAAAAAAAAAAAAAACUACUUCUGAAAUUUAUAUAGGGGAAAAGCCUAGGGAAAAAAGAAAAUAGCUCUAUAUUGUCUACAGAAACUUGUACUAAAUAUCACCCACUUUACAGAAAUUCUGUGAUUUUCCAGGUGGUGGCAAAGACUCAGACAAAAGUUGAUAUCGCUACUUUUCUGUAGGCUUCUAAGUAUGAUUAUGGUACAAUUCCAUUAUAAUACAUUUUUAAUGUCAGUUUGACCUAGAAGGCUUUGUUUCUCUGUUUAUCUUUUGAUGUCUCUGUGAACUACUUGAAAUUAUAAUGGCACUGUGAUUUAUGAAAACUUGCCUGUAUGACAAAAGCAGGAGAUGUACCAACAAUAAUGGUCUGCUGCAAUAUGUUUUUUAAUGAAUUCUGUGCAUUUAUUUCUUAUUUCCCUUUUAAUUUUGUAGUCUCUGGCAUUAUAGAUGCUAUCAAUUCCUUAGGAUGGAAGCUCUCUUUCUGUUAUGGUUUUGUAUAGUGCUUAGCACAAUAGGAUAUUUGACAAAGGCUACUAGACACAAUAGUAGUGGUAAAUAAUACCUGUCAUUGUUUGCUGUCUCUUUAAAAUGUAAGAAAACUUAUACAAGCUAUUUCAUUAGUUUCUACUCAAUAAAAAAUUUCAUGCCACU